rnacentral:rRNA from 1 species
AGAGUUUGAUCAUGGCUCAGAUUGAACGCUGGCGGCAGGCCUAACACAUGCAAGUCGAACGGUAACAGGAAGAAGCUUGCUUCUUUGCUGACGAGUGGCGGACGGGUGAGUAAUGUCUGGGAAACUGCCUGAUGGAGGGGGAUAACUACUGGAAACGGUAGCUAAUACCGCAUAACGUCGCAAGACCAAAGAGGGGGACCUUCGGGCCUCUUGCCAUCGGAUGUGCCCAGAUGGGAUUAGCUAGUAGGUGGGGUAACGGCUCACCUAGGCGACGAUCCCUAGCUGGUCUGAGAGGAUGACCAGCCACACUGGAACUGAGACACGGUCCAGACUCCUACGGGAGGCAGCAGUGGGGAAUAUUGCACAAUGGGCGCAAGCCUGAUGCAGCCAUGCCGCGUGUAUGAAGAAGGCCUUCGGGUUGUAAAGUACUUUCAGCGGGGAGGAAGGGAGUAAAGUUAAUACCUUUGCUCAUUGACGUUACCCGCAGAAGAAGCACCGGCUAACUCCGUGCCAGCAGCCGCGGUAAUACGGAGGGUGCAAGCGUUAAUCGGAAUUACUGGGCGUAAAGCGCACGCAGGCGGUUUGUUAAGUCAGAUGUGAAAUCCCCGGGCUCAACCUGGGAACUGCAUCUGAUACUGGCAAGCUUGAGUCUCGUAGAGGGGGGUAGAAUUCCAGGUGUAGCGGUGAAAUGCGUAGAGAUCUGGAGGAAUACCGGUGGCGAAGGCGGCCCCCUGGACGAAGACUGACGCUCAGGUGCGAAAGCGUGGGGAGCAAACAGGAUUAGAUACCCUGGUAGUCCACGCCGUAAACGAUGUCGACUUGGAGGUUGUGCCCUUGAGGCGUGGCUUCCGGAGCUAACGCGUUAAGUCGACCGCCUGGGGAGUACGGCCGCAAGGUUAAAACUCAAACGAAUUGACGGGGGCCCGCACAAGCGGUGGAGCAUGUGGUUUAAUUCGAUGCAACGCGAAGAACCUUACCUGGUCUUGGCAUCCACGGAAGUUUUCAGAGAUGAGAAUGUGCCUUCGGGAACCGUGAGACAGGUGCUGCAUGGCUGUCGUCAGCUCGUGUUGUGAAAUGUUGGGUUAAGUCCCGCAACGAGCGCAACCCUUAUCCUUUGUUGCCAGCGGUCCGGCCGGGAACUCAAAGGAGACUGCCAGUGAUAAACUGGAGGAAGGUGGGGAUGACGUCAAGUCAUCAUGCCCCUUACGACCAGGGCUACACACGUGCUACAAUGGCGCAUACAAAGAGAAGCGACCUCGCGAGAGCAAGCGGACCUCAUAAAGUGCGUCGUAGUCCGGAUUGGAGUCUGCAACUCGACUCCAUGAAGUCGGAAUCGCUAGUAAUCGUGGAUCAGAAUGCCACGGUGAAUACGUUCCCGGGCCUUGUACACACCGCCCGUCACACCAUGGGAGUGGGUUGCAAAAGAAGUAGGUAGCUUAACCUUCGGGAGGGCGCUUACCACUUUGUGAUUCAUGACUGGGGCGAAGACGUAACAAGGUA